CUAGAGUUUGAUCCUGGCUCAGGAUGAACGCUGGCGGCGUGCUUAACACAUGCAAGUCGAACGAUGAAGCCCAGCUUGCUGGGUGGAUUAGUGGCGAACGGGUGAGUAACACGUGAGUAACCUGCCCUUAACUCUGGGAUAAGCCUGGGAAACUGGGUCUAAUACCGGAUAGGAGCGUCCACCGCAUGGUGGGUGUUGGAAAGAUUUAUCGGUUUUGGAUGGACUCGCGGCCUAUCAGCUUGUUGGUGAGGUAAUGGCUCACCAAGGCGACGACGGGUAGCCGGCCUGAGAGGGUGACCGGCCACACUGGGACUGAGACACGGCCCAGACUCCUACGGGAGGCAGCAGUGGGGAAUAUUGCACAAUGGGCGAAAGCCUGAUGCAGCGACGCCGCGUGAGGGAUGACGGCCUUCGGGUUGUAAACCUCUUUCAGUAGGGAAGAAGCGAAAGUGACGGUACCUGCAGAAGAAGCACCGGCUAACUACGUGCCAGCAGCCGCGGUAAUACGUAGGGUGCGAGCGUUAUCCGGAAUUAUUGGGCGUAAAGAGCUCGUAGGCGGUUUGUCGCGUCUGUCGUGAAAGUCCGGGGCUUAACCCCGGAUCUGCGGUGGGUACGGGCAGACUAGAGUGCAGUAGGGGAGACUGGAAUUCCUGGUGUAGCGGUGGAAUGCGCAGAUAUCAGGAGGAACACCGAUGGCGAAGGCA
rnacentral:rRNA from 1 species